AGAGAGAGAGAGAGAGAAAGGGAGGGAUGGAAAGACCUUAUUCUGCACCGUGAAACGAGUAGGAUUCAGUCACUGGCUGCUCACCUUCACAGACAGACAAGGAGAAGGCUGCUUGGGUAGAUUGUGUUUGAGGAGACACUCAGUCUGAGCUCACGGCUAAAUCAUGGAUCAGAAGCCCACUUCACCCCAGAGACAUGCGGUGAAAAGCAGGUCAAAGUCUACAGAGGAAGUCCAGCAAGCUAAAAAGGCCUUCCACAUACCCCAGAAAUCACUGCCUGGAGGGUCAGAGCUGGAAAAGGUGAAGGAAGGACCAGAAGAAAAUGUGACUCCAGCAUCAUCCACAGAAGAGCUGAAGUGAUGCAGCCAUUCAUCUGUGUUUAUCUCACACACAAACACACACAUAAAGAUAAAUGCUUGUUUUUAUAUAUAAACAAGGUUUGAUUUAAAGUAUUAGCUCUUUCUUUUGUAAGGUGAUUUUCAGUACAGCUCAACACACGCAGAAACACGAAACACGUCGACCUGAAGCAUGUUAAGUCUGUCUGCGCUGCAUCUCUGUACACUGACAUGCUGUUUAUAUAAACUCAGUGCUUUCACUAUGAACAUCAGGGCAUGUGUGCUUUCACAUUUAAAGAAGCUCAAGCGAAAUUAGAUCAGUGGUUUGAUUAAAAUUGGAACUUUGUGGCUUUUUAGUCUAUAGCUUUGAGCUCGUCCAUAGAUAGAGUGAAAAUGCUAAUUACUUUUUUUGUGUGUGUGAAUAGUAUCUUUCUUUUAUUACCCAAUCAUAAUUUCUGCACAACCAGCAGAUGGUGUCAAUGUGUAAAUUUUGGCUGUCAUAUUAAUAGUUUUGAUGUUUGACAUUAUAAAUCUACAGAUACCCUAAGGGACUUGUUGAUGGAAAAAAUCUGAGAUGAAAGAAUUACAUUGCUUUUGUACUGAAUGCGUUUGCAUAUUGCAUUACAAAAGUGACAGAAAGCAAAGUUAGCAAGCGAACAUAAUCACGAUUUGCAAUUUUUUCCCUCACAUAUCAAAAUGAGUAAAUGCUUUUUUCUAUUUGAUAAAAACACUUACUGCGGGCUUGUUUCUACAAUGGGAUGUUUGUAGUACACUCCAGCUCUCAUGUUUUUGGGCCCAUGUGAGUCAAAUAGUGUUAAAUACUCAUCCGGCGACAUAUUUAUUGGCAUCAGCUGAAUCACAGAGCUGACAUACUGUAUGAGUCAGCUUAAGAUGUUGUGUAAGUGUUUAUAGUACAGUUUAAACCAUUUGUGCUAAUAAACUUUUGACCACUCAUCAUGCUAAAGUUCAGUGACUGAGUGAAUUUCAGAAACAGGAGUCACUCUCACAGCUGUAAACAAGAUACAUGAAGACUGUGCAGUCUGUUUAGUGCAAGCAAUUUGAGAGCAAAGUAAAAUUAAA